CGUAUACAAAUGCAAUUAUGAACAUACCAAUAACAUCCUUUGCCUGUACAACAGUGAUUGAUCGUUUUAACGACUUUUUGUUUGUUGGUGUAGGUGAUCAAAGUAGGCCUGAAUUUUUUUAGUUUUCUCAACGGUCAUUUUGCCGCCAUACCGAAGAAGCCGGAGCCGGAUUGAAAAAUGCUCGUCACGGAUAUGAAGGUGCUGGCGGUCUUUUCCAGAUAUGGGCCAGGAACGGUACCAAAGCGCUUCCGCCAACAGCGUUCUUCGCGGGAGUCUGGUUUUCAUUGGAAUAGCCUUUGGUGUAAUCAUUCCACUUAGCCAGCUUUCCAUGUAGGUGCUCCAUUGAUAGCUUCGAGCCCCAGAUCACCAAAGCACUGGGCCGGGUGGAACUCCAGUACCCCAACUGAAGGACAAGGACGAGAUGGUCUUCUGGUGCCGAACGGUUGCAGCGUCCAGAUAUUAAAAAUUGUGCCUUUUAAAGUGUAAUAGUGUUAAAUUUUUUUUUCAAAUAAAAUGAAAAUAU